ACUUUAGUUUGGCCCCCCGAAACUAAGUGAGCUACUCCAGGUCAGCCUAUUGUAGGGCAAACCCGUCUCUGUGGCAAAAGAGUGGGAAGAACUUUGAGUAGAGGUGACAAAUCUACCGAACUUAGUAAUAGCUGGUUGUCUGAGAAAUGGAUAGAAGUUCAGCCUCACGGCUUCUUACUUCAAAUUUCGUAUAAACCUUAAUUAGAUUUCUAAAGAAACCGAGAGAGUUAAUCUUAGGGGGUACAGCCCCUAAGAUCAAGGACACAACCUUCACAGGUGGGUAAAGAUCAUAAUUAACCCAAGGUAAAGCACCCCGGUGGGCCUAAAAGCAGCCACCCAUUCAGAAAGCGUUAAAGCUCAGGUGCACCCAACCUUCCGUCGAUCCCGAUAAUGCAAUCUCAUCCCCCUCUCAAUAUCAGACUAUCCACUGCAAACAGUGGAGAAAUAAUGCUAAUAUGAGUAAUAAGAGAGAACGAACUCUCUCCCUGCACAAGUGUACCUCGGAACGGACCAACCACCGAAUCUUAACGCCCCCAAGCAAAGAGGGAAAUGGAUUUCAAAUAAAUUAACUAGAAAAACAUCCAAGACAAAAGCGUUAACCCCACACUGGAGUGCUCUUAGGGAAAGACUAAAAGGGAAGGAAGGAACUCGGCAAACACUUAAAGCCUCGCCUGUUUACCAAAAACAUCGCCUCUUGCAAUAAUCAAUGAAUAAGAGGUCCCGCCUGCCCUGUGACUAUAUGUUUAACGGCCGCGGUAUUUUGACCGUGCGAAGGUAGCGCAAUCACUUGUCUUUUAAAUGGAGACCUGUAUGAAUGGCAUCACGAGGGCUUAACUGUCUCCCCUCCCCAGUCAAUGAAAUUGAUCUCCCCGUGCAGAAGCGGGGAUAGUACCAUAAGACGAGAAGACCCUAUGGAGCUUUAGACGUCAGAGCAGCCCAUGUAAAGCACCCCUUAACAAAGGAAAAAACCAAAUGAAGCCUGCCCUAAUGUCUUUGGUUGGGGCGACCGCGGGGAAAUACAAAACCCCCAUGUGGAGUAGGAAUACAUAUUCCUAAACCCAAGAGCUCCCGCUCUAAUGAACAGAAAUUCUGACCAAUAAGAUCCGGCACACGCCGAUCAACGGACCGAGUUACCCUAGGGAUAACAGCGCAAUCCCCUUAAAGAGCCCUUAUCGACAAGGGGGUUUACGACCUCGAUGUUGGAUCAGGACAUCCUAAUGGUGCAGCCGCUAUAA
rnacentral:rRNA from 1 species